rnacentral:misc_RNA from 1 species
UCCGGUUUAUCACCGGCGGUCUCCUUAGAGUUCCCACCAUUACGUGCUGGCAACUAAGGACGAGGGUUGCGCUCGUUACGGGACUUAACCCAACAUCUCACGACACGAGCUGACGACAGCCAUGCAGCACCUGUCACUCGGUUCCCGAAGGCACUUCUCCAUCUCUGGAGAAUUCCGAGGAUGUCAAGAGUAGGUAAGGUUCUUCGCGUUGCAUCGAAUUAAACCACAUGCUCCACCGCUUGUGCGGGCCCCCGUCAAUUUCUUUGAGUUUUAACCUUGCGGCCGUACUCCCCAGGCGGAGAACUUAACGCGUUAGCUUCGCUACUAAGAUGACAAGCAUCCCAACAGCUAGUUCUCAUCGUUGACGGCGUGGACUAC